rnacentral:tRNA from 1 species
GCCCUGGUGGUGUAGUCUGGCCUAUCAUGAUGCCCUGUCGAGGCAUCGACCCGGGUUCAAAUCCCGGCCAGGGCG